AUUGAACGCUGGCGGCAUGCCUUACACAUGCAAGUCGAACGGUAACAGGUCUUCGGAUGCUGACGAGUGGCGAACGGGUGAGUAAUACAUCGGAACGUGCCUAGUAGUGGGGGAUAACUACUCGAAAGAGUGGCUAAUACCGCAUGAGAUCUACGGAUGAAAGCAGGGGAUCGCAAGACCUUGUGCUACUAGCGCGGCCGAUGGCAGAUUAGGUAGUUGGUGGGAUAAAAGCUUACCAAGCCGACGAUCUGUAGCUGGUCUGAGAGGACGAGCAGCCACAGUGGGACUGAGACACGGCCCAGACUCCGACGGGAGGCAGCAGUGGGGAAUGUUGGACAAUGGGCGAAAGCCUGAUCCAGCAAUGCCGCGUGCAGCAUGAAGGCCUUCGGGUUGUAAACUGCUUUUGUACGGAACGAAAAGCCCUGGGUUAAUACCCUGGGGUCAUGACGGUACCGUAAGAAUAAGCACCGGCUAACUACGUGCCAGCCGCCGCGGUAA
rnacentral:rRNA from 1 species